UUAAUGGAAGUGCUUCCUCCUCAUCACAAAAGCAAACAAAAGAAGGUCCAUUAAUUUUUCACUCAUGGAGCACUUCAAACAAGUGGGAGAAAAGACUCCAGUCAGGUACAUGAGUGACUUCAGACCUUAGCACAGAGCUGAACCAGGAGACUGGAAACCAGUUCUGUCUGUGAAUGGUCAAUACCUGAGCUCUGCUUGUUGCUUUGUUUGCUGGUCACUGGAAGCAGAGAGAGAAAGACAAUAGGAAAGGUCAUUUUUGCCUUGAUGACCUGGCUGCAGUGUCCCUGCCCUAAAGGAGAGAAAAGCGAAACAGAAGAGUGAUAUAGAAAGGCUCAUCUGAGUCCAGCUUCAAGGAAUCCUGUUGGACAUAUGUGACAGAACGUGGUUCAUCUGCUGCUCAUGAACGCUCUGCCUUCAGCUCUAUAAACUUCUUGUCCCAACUUCUUUGAGGUCAAAGGAAGACAGUCCAACAAAGGAAGUGUUCGACAAAAAAAUAUUCUGUAUUGUAAGGUGC
rnacentral:lncRNA from 1 species